CUAAUUUAGUACCAGCACAUUCAUAAUUUUCCUUCAGUCAUAUUUGUGUUAAUACAUAAAUUUCAUUCAUCAAUUUGUGAAUCAUGUUACCUUUCCAUUCAAAAUUUUCAUUUCCAUUGUGUCAAAUUCCUGUUAUUAUCAUAACUCUUGAACGCAUCCGAUUUAGAAUUCCACAAGGUUAAAUCCUGUUGAGUUAACUUUGUUCUUUGAGCCACUUGGACGAAAGCACUGAGUGGUAAAAGGCAGAGAUGUGCGAUCAAUAGAGGGUAAAAGCCUUAUUGUGAGAUUCCGAGUGAAAUAUUGGUAAGGCAGAAAAAUAAUUAAAUAAAUUUUAGAUUUAAGAUGUCUGACAGAGAAGGUUCCAAUUCAAACCGUAACGACAAUCACAUUAAUGCACAGAAUGAUAUGAUGAGGCAAUUUAAGAGGUUGUUUACGGAUAUAGUGGAUAGGUUAAAUAGGCUUGAUACAUUGGUUAAGAAUCUUAGUAUGAGGCAAUGGGCUGAAAUACCUCACGCUAGGAGACCAGGUAGACUAAAACCUAGGAUGGAAAGGCGGGAGGCGUAUGAUUACGAUAGUAAACUGGAUGAGAAUGAAUACAAUAAAGUGUUUUAGGUGCUUGGGAUCGGGACACAUCGCUUCUCAGUGUUCGAACAAACGAGCGAUGGUGUUGAGGGACAAUGGAAAGGUUGUAAGUGAAAGCAAAAGUGAAUAUGAUGACAUGCCGGAGUUAGAGGAAAUUAACGAUGGAGAGAUAGUGGAAUAUGUUGUGGGAGAAUUGUUGGUCACGAGAUGAGCUCUUAACACUCAAAUCAAGGCGGAUGACUUGGAGCAACGGCAGGAAAAUAUAUUCCACACUCGAUCUCAUGUUAAUAAUAAGGUGUGUAGUUUGAUCAUCAACUGUGGGAGUUGUACAAAUGUGGCUAGCACAACUUUGGUGGAGAAAUUGGGAUUAACUCUAUUAAAACACCCUAAACCUUAUAGGCUUCAAUGGUUGAAUGAUUGUUGAGAAAUCAAAGUAAAUAGGAGGGUUUUGAUAAAUUUCUCAAUUGGGAAUUAUCAUAAUGAAGUGGUAUGUGAUGCGGUACCUAUGCAUGCGGGACAACUGUUGCCGGGGUGACCAUGGCAAUACGACAGAAAGAUUGUUUACGAUGGAUACAAGAAUCGAUACAGCUUUAUCAAAGAUGGGAUAUCCAUUACCCUUGCACCAUUAGCAGACCAAAUUAAAUUGAAAAAUGAAGAAGAGAGAAGAGCUAGAGAAAAAGAGAGAAAACAAUGAGACAAUGAGUAAGAGAGAAAAUAGUGAGGGGCGAGUCGAGAG
rnacentral:lncRNA from 1 species